rnacentral:lncRNA from 1 species
CUCCCUACCCAUGGCCCCCCUACUGGCCCAAUCCGCCACAAUACCCUUCGGCCCACCAGUACUCCUACGGCCCACCUCAGCAGCCCAACACUUGGCCUGCUCCCCCUUGCCCCUACCCAUCUACUAACCGGCCCAACCCUCCUCCUUCUCCACAGUCGCAAGCCGGCCUCCUUGGCCCACGUCCUCAUCAGGCUCACACGGCAUACAGCCCGACAGACAUCGAGCAGGCACUAUAUACCAUGUCGUUGCAACAACCAGACCCCACUCAGUAUAUGGAUACCGGCGCCACUGGCAACAUGUCUCACGAGCAAGGAUCUCAAGACCAAGAUGCCGCUCCUUCGAUGCAACAGCAGCGGUGA